rnacentral:rRNA from 1 species
UGGGCGCAAGCCUGAUGCAGCGACGCCGCGUGAGGGAUGGAGGCCUUCGGGUUGUGAACCUCUGUCGCCGGUGAUGUAGGCUCUGCUUUGUGGGUGGGGUUGACGGUAGCCGGGGUAUGAAGUGCCGGCUAACUACGUGCCAGCAGCCGCGGUAAUACGUAGGGCGCGAGCGUUGUCCGGAAUUAUUGGGCGUAAAGAGCUCGUAGGCGGCUGGUCGCGUCUGUCGUGAAAUCCUCUGGCUUAACUGGGGGCGUGCGGUGGGUACGGGCCGGCUUGAGUGCGGUAGGGGAGGCUGGAAUUCCUGGUGUAGCGGUGGAAUGCGCAGAUAUCGGGAGGAACACCGGUGGCGAAGGCGGGUCUCUGGGCCGUGUACUGACGCUGAGGAGCGAAAGCGUGGGGAGCGAACAGGAUUAGAUACCCUGGUAGUCCAUGCUGUAAACGUUGGGCACUAGGUGUGGGGGGUCUUUCCGGGUCUUCCGCGCCGUAGCUAACGCAUUAAGUGCCCCGCCUGGGGAGUACGGCCGCAAGGCUAAAACUCAAAGGAAUUGACGGGGGCCCGCACAAGCGGCGGAGCAUGCGGAUUAAUUCGAUGCAACGCGAAGAACCUUACC